ACUCAAAUGAAUUGACGGGGGCCCGCACAAGCGGUGGAGCAUGUGGUUUAAUGCGAUACAACACGCAAAACCUUACCAGUUCUUGCAUAUUAGAAGUCUUUUAUAGAAAUAUAAUUGACAUUACUCUAUUACAGGUGUUGCAUGGCUGUCGUCAGCUCGUGUUGUGAGAUGUUUGGUUAGGUCCUGUAACGAGCGCAACCCUUAUUUUUAGUUGCUAAUAAACUAUUGUUUAUGCACUCUAAUUAAACUGCCUGUGAUAAACAGGAGGAAGGUGAGGAUGACGUCAAGUCCUUAUGACCCUUAUGGACUGGGCUACACACGUGCUACAAUGACGAUGACAAUGGGAGGCAAUUAUGCAAAUAGGAGCUAAUCCUUAAACAUCGUCUCAGUUCGGAUUGUUCUCUGCAACUCGAGAACAUGAAGUUGGAAUCGCUAGUAAUCGCGGAUCAUCACGCCGCGGUGAAUAAGUUCUCGGGCCUUGCACACACCGCCCGU
rnacentral:rRNA from 1 species